rnacentral:rRNA from 1 species
GUCGAGCGGUAAGGCCCUUCGGGGUACACGAGCGGCGAACGGGUGAGUAACACGUGGGUGAUCUACCCUGUACUUCGGGAUAAGCCUGGGAAACUGGGUCUAAUACCGGAUAUGACCUUCCGAUGCAUGUCGGUGGGUGGAAAGAUUUAUCGGUACAGGAUGGGCCCGCGGCCUAUCAGCUUGUUGGUGGGGUAAUGGCCUACCAAGGCGACGACGGGUAGCCGGCCUGAGAGGGCGACCGGCCACACUGGGACUGAGACACGGCCCAGACUCCUACGGGAGGCAGCAGUGGGGAAUAUUGCACAAUGGGCGAAAGCCUGAUGCAGCGACGCCGCGUGAGGGAUGACGGCCUUCGGGUUGUAAACCUCUUUCGACAGGGACGAAGCGCAAGUGACGGUACCUGUAGAAGAAGCACCGGCCAACUACGUGCCAGCAGCCGCGGUAAUACGUAGGGUGCGAGCGUUGUCCGGAAUUACUGGGCGUAAAGAGCUUGUAGGCGGUUUGUCGCGUCGUCCGUGAAAACUUGGGGCUCAACCCCAAGCUUGCGGGCGAUACGGGCAGACUUGAGUACUGCAGGGGAGACUGGAAUUCCUGGUGUAGCGGUGAAAUGCGCAGAUAUCAGGAGGAACACCGGUGGCGAAGGCGGGUCUCUGGGCAGUAACUGACGCUGAGAAGCGAAAGCGUGGGUAGCGAACAGGAUUAGAUACCCUGGUAGUCCACGCCGUAAACGGUGGGCGCUAGGUGUGGGUUUCCUUCCACGGGAUCCGUGCCGUAGCUAAC